rnacentral:rRNA from 1 species
UACGAAGGGAGCUAGCGUUGUUCGGAAUCACUGGGCGUAAAGCGUGCGCAGGCGGCUUUGCAAGUCAGGGGUGAAAUGCCAAGGCUUAACCUUGGAACUGCCUUUGAAACUGCGAAGCUAGAGACUCGGAGGGGUUAGGGGAAUUCCUAAUGUAGCGGUGAAAUGCGUAGAUAUUAGGAAGAACACCAGUGGCGAAGGCGGCUCACUGGCCCGGUACUGACGCUGAGGCGCGAAAGCGUGGGGAGCAAACAGG